AAUGUUCUCGCGAUAUCCCGGCUCAGGGCCCUUUCCCCUGAAGUCCCGCCCCCAGGACGUAAGGAAACGUCACGUCCUGGCACGAGGACCUGGGCAGGAGCGGCUGAAAGUUGGCUGGGAAGCAGAGCUGGCCGAUUGAGCAUGCGCCCUGCUCCCUCCGCAACGCGCUCCGCGGCACAGCACCUCCCAUUCCGGAAGGAAGUAGCGGAGUAGGACCCAGGCGGAAGUGCGGCGCGCCGUUUCCAUCGUUCUAGUCUCAAAGGAGCUUUAGGUGGGAGCGUGUUCUCCACUCCACCUUCGAUUUGUGGGGACUCCUGAAAAAGAGCGCGAGCGGAUCACACUCCGCAGGGCGCUCGGUUCUCUUCAGGGUGGGGCGGCCAGUCGCAGAGAAGGCCGCCGUUGGAAGCGGCCCCGAGCAGGGCCUUCGGUCGGGCUCCGUCAGCGUCGGAGACGGUGCCCUCCCCAGCGGAGGGAGGAAGCCGCUCCCGGUGACGCCGCCUUGUCGCACCGUUCUCUGAGCCGCUCGUGUCGUUACAUCAAAGUGAGGGACCUGCAGGACUUAAGCCUUUCAAUCCCCAACGCAUUCCAAGCACCUCCUCAGUGCUAGGUCCUGAGUUGCGUGCAGGGGACGCAGACAGGUGACACCCUAGCCGGCCUGGAUCGUCCGCACAGACCAGGGAGUCAGUGGCAGGGUUACCUGAAGCAAUGAGUUAAGCUUCAGGGCCCCUCACUUGCGUGGUCCCCUGGGAGAGCAGGGAGUUGCUGAGAGCUCCGGAGUGUUCCAGGUGGACAGGAGAAGCCAGUCUGAGAUGAGGCAAUUCUGUGCAAGCAUUUCUAAUAAAUUGCCCAAAGAGAUCUCAGAAGAAGGAGAAUCUGAAUCUCCAAGUCUCCAGUAAUGUGAUUUUUCGUUUUAAAUAUUUUGUGAUUUUUUUUUUAAGGGCUCCCACAGUGUAUAAACUUCAGCUCUACGAAACGGAUAUUCCCCCUCAGGAAGGGAGCUAAGCAGGGAGAAGGCAGAUGGUCACUUUGUCUCUCCACUUUGGAAGAGAUUUUACUUUGAGACAAGAUCCCGUUGCAAUGAAGACCAGUGAUACCCAGUUGGUUUUGGAAGACUGCCCUGUAUGUUUCUACAAGGCAGUGUUUGAGAGUUGCUGCUACCUGUGGUGCAAGGCUGGCCACUCCUUCUCUGUGAGGAUCAGCGCUUCUCACUGAAGGUGUGAGAAGCAGCAGAGACGUCCUGCCAGAGCUGCAAGAGAGAACACAGCGUGGUAGAGCAGUGAUAAUUAGAACUGUGAUGCUGGCACCAGAAAAGACAAAAGCGAAUAGAGCAGAAGAGAAAUAAAAAGUCCAAAACCGAA